GACGAACGCUGGCGGCGUGCUUAACACAUGCAAGUCGAACGGAAAGGCCCUGCUUUUGUGGGGUGCUCGAGUGGCGAACGGGUGAGUAACACGUGAGUAACCUGCCCUUGACUUUGGGAUAACUUCAGGAAACUGGGGCUAAUACCGGAUAGGAGCUCCUGCUGCAUGGUGGGGGUUGGAAAGUUUCGGCGGUUGGGGAUGGACUCGCGGCUUAUCAGCUUGUUGGUGGGGUAGUGGCUUACCAAGGCUUUGACGGGUAGCCGGCCUGAGAGGGUGACCGGCCACAUUGGGACUGAGAUACGGCCCAGACUCCUACGGGAGGCAGCAGAGGGGAGUAGUGCACAAUGGGCGGAAGCCUGAUGCAGCAACGCCGCGUGCGGGAUAACGGCCUUCGGGUUGUAAACCGCUUUCGCCUGUGACGAAGCGUGAGUGACGGUAAUGGGUAAAGAAGCACCGGCUAACUACGUG
rnacentral:rRNA from 1 species